GUCAUUGACCAAGGAUAAUAAAUUGUGGCAUUGUGUACUGUUGUUAAAAUAAUUUCUACAGUUGGUUUAAGUGCCCUGAAUUCUUAGUUACCUUCGUUCUAGCAGUUUACUUUAUGUUGUUCACAGUUUCGGGAACAAUGCAUGUCCCAUUCGUGUAGAACAAACGUCUUAAUACAAGAAACAGUGAACUAAACAGAAAGACAGAAUAUGGCUGCUGCCGCUGCCGCCGCUCUGCUCGAUGAGCUCAUGGGAAGAAAUCGAAAUGUUCUUCCUAACGAGAAGCCUAAAGAACUUAAUUGGGAGGAUCCGGAGUUCUGCAAGUUAUAUCUGGUGAAGUUUUGUCCUCACGAUCUUUUUGUGAAUACACGAGCUGAUCUUGGUGCAUGUUCUCGUGUACACGACGAUGAAGCAAGAGAAUUGUUUGAAAAAGCGGCUUAUUCAUAUAGGAAACAACAAUAUGAGGAUGAAUUCAUCAGAUUCUGUCAAAGUAUGCUUAACGAAGUUGAGCGCAAAAUCAUAAAAGGAAAACAGCGGCUCGCAUUAAUUGGCAGAACUGAAGCGCCUACAUUGACUCCAGCCCAAACACAACGAAAUGAAGAUCAAAUUGCACUUCUCACAGAAAAGAUUAAUAAAUUGGUAGAAGAAGCUGAGCAGAGCGGAAUUCAGGGAAACGUUGAACAAGCUCAGGGACUCAUGCGCCUUUGCGAUCAACUGAAAGAAGAACGGGAGACUUUACGUAAAUCUAAUGAUAAUAGCCAUUAUAAUCAAACUGCGGAGCUAGCAGCAGCACAGGAAAAGCAAAUGGAGGUGUGUGAUGUAUGUGGUGCAUUCCUUAUUGUUGGCGAUGCUCAACAAAGAAUUGACGAUCACCUUAUGGGAAAACAGCAUGUUGGGUAUGCACGAUUAAAAAGUGCUCUACAGGAGAUAAUGAGUAAACGCGAAAAGGCACGAGACGAAAAAGAGCAGAAGAGGGAUGAAGAAAGGAAACAAAGAGCACGUAUGAAUGAAGAAAAUGACAGAAGAAGGCAAGACAGGGAGAGGGACAAACGUCGUCGACGAACUGAUGACGAUAAAAGUAGACACGGUUCUGGUAAUUAUAGAAAUUCAGGGCAACGUAGUAGAAGUAGAUCCGCAGACAAGCAUGAACGCCACAGAGAUGAAGACAAUCAUCGUCGUCACAAUAGGGACAGAGGGAGCCGUGAUCAUCGCAGUUCUAGUCACCACAGUCGACGACGACAUCGUUCAAGAAGUCGAAGUCACAAGUAACUACUUUCCUCUUGAUUGGUUAGUGAGUCAGAAGUAAGCCAGGUAUGCACUAAAUAAUAAAUUCUUAACAACACAAUUAUUAUACAGGUUCAUACCAGGUGAGUUUCAUUAAGUCAUACAAUUUGUAUGUUAUUAAUAUGUGAUAAAUUAUCGAUUCACAGUAAGUAUCGUUCACUGCACAGGUAUCAAUCAUGUGAAAGAUGGAUAUUGUUUGUAUUUCGGAAGUUAAACAAUUGUAAAACGAACUAGACUGUAAGGAAAUUGUGAAUAUAUUAUCAAAAAAAAAAAAAAAAAAUAGCCUAUGCCACUUCGUGUUUUUAUUGUGAUAAAUUCUUUUUAAUUUUUAUUUUUUUUUUUCAAUUUUUAUUUGCUACUCUCUUUUUAUACCAUUACAGACAUUCGUGUUUUCAUUUAAUAAACUGAACUAAAAACCUUCAGUGCGCAACGAGACAAAUAUUUGUCAAUCAUGAAAUCCAUGAAAGCGAAUGUCCCGAUGUAUCCCGUCUGUAUUCAUUUCUCAACAGUACGAUUUUGGGUUUUUUAGUACUCAUUUAGAAUUGAAUUAGUGAAAACAAUAUUGAGUAUUUUAAGUGGGAUCAUUUCAAAUUCAUGCUAUUCAAUGCUUCUGUAUCGCGCUGAAUAGAACUUGCAUGUCAGAUUCUAAAAUGUGAAUGUAAUACAAAACACUUGCUAAAGCUGGAGAAAUUUUAAUUCUAUCCGACUCACUAACGACUGACAAUGUACAGCUCAAUUCGCAGUCUUGGAUCUUAAAGUCGCAUCACAGCAGCAAACAUACCGUUUAAACUAUUAUGUUUCCACAUGCAUGUUCCACAUUCUGAUUCAUGACCCUAAAGUGUAUUACCGUGUGAUGAAGAACAGAGACUGCCCGUUGCAAUUUUGUGAUAUGUUGAUGAUUUGAGCAGAGCAUACUCUCAUCCAUUGCGAUUGCUACGUAAAAGUUUACGAAUGGUUGCUUUUGAUAUUCAUGUUUUUUUAUUUCCACAUUUUCCACAUAGUAUGUUGUAUUUUUCUUUUUUUCCAACGGCUUGUGAGGUGGCAAAGAAGAAGAAUUGUCAUUCAGACUUUUAACUUGGCUAGUACUUUUUUUACAAACGGAUUCCUUUUCUAACACAUUGCAUAAGAUUUCGUAUCUACUACUUGAGUUCUGCGGAUACUUUAUAAAAUCUAAAAUAUGUAAAAUUAUUAAUUGAAUAUCAAUAGUGUUAAAAUCGACAAAAGAUGCUUGAAAUUACUUGAGAAUAAUUGAUGGGAUAUCAUUCAAGAUAUCCCUGAGAAUUAUAAGUGCUUGUUGAAAUCUGAUUUGAGAGAAGGUAAAAAUUUUCAUGAAUUGCUAUUUAAUUAACGUUUAGUACUCCAAUUUUUUUCUUCAAGUUAAUUUCAGUGUAAUGAGUGAUGAAAGUGACUUAACCAGGUAUCUAAAGCAGACAAACUGCGGAAACGUUAUAAAUUUGAGACUAAUUAUUCAAUUAUUUUACUGUGAGAAAAUGAAAUAAUUUAGAUAACUCGUUAAUAUUUAAAAAAUAUACGCACAUGAAAGAGUUGAGAAGACUGAUUGAAUGGUUUUCAUGUUAAUUGUCACGUCAUUCAAAUUUACUGAACUUAUUUGUUUAUAUCUUUUUAGUUUAAAAGAUCAAGUGUACACACACACACCCCUUUAUUUUUGGCCCAAACGCUAAUGAAUUUCUAUAAAUAAUAGUAGACGUAAAAUUAACGAUCUAACCAUUCAUUUUCUGGAUAAGUAAAAAAAUGCCGGUGAUGUAGUGAAAGGUUUGCUGUAAAUUCCUAGUUGUUAUUUAUGUAUAUUUAAGUUGGUUCACUGCUCUAUUGACCAUGCAAAGCAUGUGUAAUCCGUGUCUCAUCAGUUUUGUAUUUAACCAUUCUGUGCUAACAAACAAUUCAGUGGUACUGAUAUAUUGAUGGUAAAAAUAACGACAAUUCUCCAAAUAUUUACACUGAAGGUUUUCAUACUAAGUGCGCGCGUUACGAUUGUUAAGAAGUAUGUUUCUUUCAUAUUAUGUAAAGUCUGGUGUGCAUAUAGAAAAUGGAAAACUGAUUGCAACUGCUACAGCAGUAAGAUUCUGCGAUUGUAGGAGCGUACUCGUUGACUGCCUUAUAUGCGAAGAUUCAUGUGACUGGUGGUACCAAUCAUACGUGAAUUGUCACUGAAUGAAGAUACAACACGAAGAUGCGUACAUCACAGGCUGUAAAUUCGUUCAUGCUGCUUAAUAUAAUUUUGAGGUAAAAAUUUUGCAUAAUCUAUAAUUUAAGAUUUCAAUUAAUAUAAAUUUUGUACAAAUGCCAGCAACACGAGGGCUUCUAAAGUUACAACGUUAAUGAACAGUUUCUUCCACCAUAAAAUUCAUUUUGAUAUUAUCCGUCUGGGAAUUCGUCAACUAUACUGUUACUCUAAUUGAACAGACUCUUGUUGAUAUAUAAAUGUUUAUAUAGAACAAUUGUUAGUUUAAAUUACUGUUGCAUAAAAAAAUUUAAACAAAAACAAUUUAUCGAGUUCAAUGAUCUAUCAGUUCAAUUGUAAUGCUUAAAUCGACUGUUGUCUUAAAUAAAUACACAAUAUUAUACAAA